GACGAACGCUGGCGGCGUGCUUAACACAUGCAAGUCGAACGGAAAGGCCCUGCUUUUGUGGGGUGCUCGAGUGGCGAACGGGUGAGUAACACGUGAGUAACCUGCCCUUGACUUUGGGAUAACUUCAGGAAACUGGGGCUAAUACCGGAUAGGAGCUCCUGCUGCAUGGUGGGGGUUGGAAAGUUUCGGCGGUUGGGGAUGGACUCGCGGCUUAUCAGCUUGUUGGUGGGGUAGUGGCUUACCAAGGCUUUGACGGGUAGCCGGCCUGAGAGGGUGACCGGCCACAUUGGGACUGAGAUACGGCCCAGACUCCUACGGGAGGCAGCAGUGGGGAAUAUUGCACAAUGGGCGGAAGCCUGAUGCAGCAACGCCGCGUGCGGGAUGACGGCCUUCGGGUUGUAAACCGCUUUCGCCUGUGACGAAGCGUGAGUGACGGUAAUGGGUAAAGAAGCACCGGCUAACUACGUGCCAGCAGCCGCGGUGAUACGUAGGGUGCGAGCGUUGUCCGGAUUUAUUGGGCGUAAAGGGCUCGUAGGUGGUUGAUCGCGUCGGAAGUGUAAUCUUGGGGCUUAACCCUGAGCGUGCUUUCGAUACGGGUUGACUUGAGGAAGGUAGGGGAGAAUGGAAUUCCUGGUGGAGCGGUGGAAUGCGCAGAUAUCAGGAGGAACACCAGUGGCGAAGGGCGGUUCUCUGGGCCUUUCCUGACGCUGAGGAGCGAAAGCGUGGGGAGCGAACAGGCUUAGAUACCCUGGUAGUCCACGCUGUAAACGGUGGGUACUAGGUGUGGGGUCCAUUCCACGGGUUCCGUGCCGUAGCUAACGCUUUAAGUACCCCGCCUGGGGAGUACGGCCGCAAGGCUAAAACUCAAAGGAAUUGACGGGGCCCCGCACAAGCGGCGGAGCAUGCGGAUUAAUUCGAUGCAACGCGUAGAACCUUACCUGGGUUUGACAUGGAUCGGGAGCGCUCAGAGAUGGGUGUGCCUCUUUUGGGGUCGGUUCACAGGUGGUGCAUGGCUGUCGUCAGCUCGUGUCGUGAGAUGUUGGGUUAAGUCCCGCAACGAGCGCAACCCUUGUUCACUGUUGCCAGCACGUUAUGGUGGGGACUCAGUGGAGACCGCCGGGGUCAACUCGGAGGAAGGUGGGGAUGACGUCAAGUCAUCAUGCCCCUUAUGUCCAGGGCUUCACGCAUGCUACAAUGGCUGGUACAGAGAGUGGCGAGCCUGUGAGGGUGAGCGAAUCUCGGAAAGCCGGUCUCAGUUCGGAUUGGGGUCUGCAACUCGACCUCAUGAAGUCGGAGUCGCUAGUAAUCGCAGAUCAGCAACGCUGCGGUGAAUACGUUCCCGGG
rnacentral:rRNA from 1 species